rnacentral:rRNA from 1 species
CCUACGGGAGGCUGCAGUCGAGAAUCAUUCACAAUGGGGGAAACCCUGACGCAGCAACGCCGCGUGAGUGAAGACGUAUCUCGGUAUGUAAAGCUCUAUCAGCGGGGAAGAAGGAAGACGGUACCCGACUAAGAAGCCCCGGCUAACUACGUGCCAGCAGCCGCGGUAAUACGUAGGGGGCGAGCGUUAUCCGGUUUUACUGGGUGUAAAGGGAGCGUAGACGGCGUCGCAAGUCUGAAGUGAAAGCCCGUGGCUCAACCGCGGAACCGCUUUGGAAACUGCGUGGCUGGAGUGCUGGAGAGGUAAGCGGAAUUCCUGGUGUAGCGGGGAAAUGCGUAGAUAUCAGGAGGAACACCGGUGGCGAAGGCGGCUUACUGGACAGUGACUGACGUUGAGGCUCGAAAGCGUGGGGAGCGAACAGGAUUAGAUACCCUAGUAGUC